rnacentral:lncRNA from 1 species
UGAGAAGUCGCCAUUAACAAGUGAGUUCAACUUGAGGCACCCAUGUAGAUUUAUUAAAUGACUGCCAUGUUUCUUAGAUUCUGACAUCUUUUAUUUGUAGCAUCUUCAGGGGUUUUAUGUGUGGAUGUCAUCAUGAAAUAACAACUGAAGAUAUUCCCUACUCUGAGCUUUCCUGCCCAAUCAAUCCAGAAGGCCUUGGAAGCUGACUCACCUUCUUGGUCAAUGUCCUGCUGCUAAAGUGUGGACCUCUCCAUCUUCAUAAGCUUCCUGGGGAAAGCCUGGCACUGAUGACAUUCCAUUGCAUUACAGGGAAAACUCAUUACAUUCAUAUGCUUGAAAUUGUUCCCCCCAAAUCUGAGAUUACCUAUUUGGAUAUCCACUUGGGACUGAAAAAUGAACCCCUCUGAGAAUGGCUGGAUGGAAAUUAGACUGCCUGCUUCUAUCCAGGGGAAGCAAGAGAAGAGGUGCUGCUGUUUAUAGGAGGAUCUACACGCUGCCCUAGAUAGGGCUACAGAAACAGAUUCUCAAAGGGCUGUUGGUCCUCAAUAUGGGGGUAGCUCAAAUUCAACUAUUGGGCCUCAAC